rnacentral:rRNA from 1 species
AUUGAACGCUGGCGGCAGGCCUAACACAUGCAAGUCGAACGAGUGGCGGACGGGUGAGUAAUGUCUGGGAAACUGCCCGAUGGAGGGGGAUAACUACUGGAAACGGUAGCUCAUACCGGAUACCAUCGGAGGUGCCCAGAUGGGAUUAGCUAGUAGGGGGGGUAACGGCUCACCUAGGAGACGAUCACUAGCUGGUCUGUGGGGAUGACAAGCGACUCUUGAACUGAUAGACGUGCAAGACUCCUACGGGGCGCAGCAGUAGGAAAUAUUGCACAAGGGGGACAAGCUUGACGGAGCCAUGCCGCGUGUAUGAAGAAGUCCUUCGGGUUGUAAAGUACUUUCAGCGAGGAGGCGUUACUCGAAGAAGAAGCACCGGCUAACUCCGUGCCAGCAGCCGCGGUAAUAC